CCACCCUGAGCUCAGCUACUCCCCCAGCUGUGCUCUGCAUUUAAAUAACAGCUUCCUGCUGCUCAGAGUGAAUUGCCUCUGACUGAGAGACCAGACCUGUGAGGAGAACAGACAUGAGGCAAGAAGCAAGAUGUACUGUGCAUUCUUCAUGGUCUCCUCAGGACAGCUUCCUCAGAGAAAUGACACCAGUGCUACUUCCAGUUAUAUCCCUGUUUUCAUGCCUUUGUCCCAGCCUAAUGACUCCUCUGAACUUGAACUCUUGGAUGUUGGUUGGAUUUGCAUGCCAUGCCUGUUCGAACUUGCACACAGCCUGGGCCAGCAGAGAUGUUUUAUCUAUGGUGACAAAUUGCUGUGUAAAGUUACAGUGUGACAUGGAGAGAACAACCACGCUGAUGGGACUGCAAUCUGAGACACAUAAUGUGCCAGGGAGCAGAGGCAAAGAAAACAAAGGCAGGAGCAGAGCUGAUCUCGGUGCAAAGGGCAGCUCAGAGCCUUUGGCCCAUUUCUCCACAGACAUGCUGGAUGGUCUGACUCAUGUGGCAUGUGUCCAUUAG
ensembl:lncRNA